rnacentral:rRNA from 1 species
CUAGUGAUAAUAGCGAAAGUGAAACACUCGACUCCAUUCCGAACUCGAAAGUGAAACCUUUUUGCGCCGAUGGUACUGCUUGUGUGGGAGAGUAGGUGGUUGCUAGGUCC